rnacentral:rRNA from 2 species
AUAUCAAUAAGCGGAGGAAAAGAAACUAACAAGGAUUCCCCUAGUAACUGCGAGUGAAGAGGGAAAAGCUCAAAUUUUGAAUCUGGCGGUCAUUUCGACCGUCCGAAUUGUAAUCUAGAGAAGCGUUUUCCGCGCUGGACCGUGUACAAGUCUCCUGGAAGGGAGCGUCAUAGAGGGUGAGAAUCCCGUCUUUGACACGGACUGCCAGUCGCUAUGUGAUGCGCUCUCGACGAGUCGAGUUGUUUGGGAAUGCAGCUCAAAAUGGGUGGUAAAUUCCAUCUAAAGCUAAAUACAGGCGAGAAACCGAUAGCGAACAAGUACCGUGAGGGAAAGAUGAAAAGAACUUUGAAAAGAGAGUUAAACAGUAUGUGAAAUUGCUGAAAGGGAAACACUUGAUGUCAGUCACGUCGGCCAGGAAUCAACCUUGCUUAAUCGUCAGGAGCACUUCCUGGUCGACGGGUCAGCAUCAGUUUCGAUUCCGUCAUACAAUGGUAGAGGGAAUGUGACAUCCUCCGGGAUGUGUUAUAGCCUUUUGUCAUAUGUGGCGGUCGGGACUGAGGAACUCGGCAUGAUUCCUUUUGGGAUUCGUGUCAAGGAUGCUGGCAUAAUGGCCUUAAGUGACCCGU